GGGGAAGAGAUGGGAUCUAUUCACCAACCCCCAGCCCGCUGGCACCAGGCAUGCAUAUGCCCUUCCUGUGGCAUCCUACUAAUAUGUUGUACAUUCCCACAUAACAGGAAACAUAUGGACAUAUAGGUAUGUCCUUCCAUUGCCACCCACGGAAUUUCUCCUCACCUUGACAAGAAGCUCCCAUUCGCUAGUCAUGCUGACCAUUUUCUCACUCUUCUUCCUCAGAAUCUGUUUUUUAAAUGACUCCCAAGUAUUCAGAGAACGGAGUAGUGGGGACUUUGUCUUCUCAUUGACUUCUUUGAGACAGAGCUUUGCUCUUCUCACCUAGGCUGGAGUGCAAUGGCACGAUCUCGGCUCACUUCAACCUCUGCCUCCCAGGUUCAAGCAAUUCUCCUGCCUCAGCCUCCCAGGUAGCUAGGAUUACAGGCACCUGCCACCACACCCAGCUAAUUUUUGUAUUUUUAGUAGAGACAAGGUUUCACCAUUUGGCCAGGCUGGCCUCAAACUCCUGACCUCAAGUGAUCCACCAGGCUUGGCCUUCCAAAGUGCUGGGAUUACAGGUGUGAGCCACUGUGCCCGGUCCUCCGUUACUUUUUUCUUUUUUCUCCCACAGCUCUACUCCUAGCUUUAACUAGUGAGGCUUGGGUUAAGCAGCCAGUUCGCUUUCAGGUGGGAGACUGUUGGGAUGCAUAGCCUUGGUAGGACUCCUCUCUGCCCACAACUGGAAAGGAUUCCCAGUUGGAGUGGUAAGAUAUAGAGAGGUUGUAUAGAAAGAGUAGGGUAAAGGGGCCUGAGAUAAGAUGACUAAACCAGAAGACAGAAGCCAAGUUAAAAUCUAGAAAAAUCCACCUCCACUCUAGCACCCACUAGAGCAAGAUUCAUGCUUCAACAGCAUCUAGGAACAUAUGAGCCCCAGACUGUGUAAUCUCUGUUGAGUGGACAACUUACACAGUCUUCACUGAGGUGCCAUUAGCUAUUCUUGUCCAGUCAGUUCUGUUCCCUCAGUCUAUUCCCAGCACAGCAGUCACUGUGAUCUUUUUAUUUUUUGUCACUGUUCUGCCCAAACCAUUCUGUGGAUUCCCAUUACACUUAGAAUAAAUCCAAAGUCUUUUAUUACCUUACUUGACCUCAUCUGCAACUACUCUUCUGCUCAUUUAUCGUCUCCAGCUACCUUGGUCUGCUUACUGUUCUACAUACGCUCUUCCCUCAGGCUUUUGCAUAAGCUGGUCCCUUUGCCUGGAAGAUCUUUCUAUCGUAUCUUAGUGUGGGUUACUCCUUCAUUAUCUUCAGAUACUUUAAAAAAUUAUCAUAUAUUAUUCUUCAUAAAGAAUCCCCGGUUUCUUUUUGGUGUUUUUUCUGCUUUCCACUAUUGAUCAUGUUGGCUAGAGACUAAUUCCUACUGCCUGCCUCCAUCAUAGAAUCCAAGCCUUCCUACAGGCCCCUCAUAGUGUGCUCCUGAGACUCUGAACUGUACGUGAGUGAAACAAGAAAUCUAGAAAUUUUGAAGGCCAGAAUCCUCACAGUAGCAGCAGUAACAGAGGUGAUGACAGCAGCAGCAGCUGUGGCAACAUACCGACCAGGCUAUUCCUGCCCAAGUGUGUUGCAAUGUUUCCUGCUUCCUGAAUUCCUUCUGAGCUUCCUUUUUUCCUGGUGUUCCCGGUCAUCGUCUUCCUGCUGUCACUGACUCUGGGAGCCGUAUCCUUCCAAUAUCAGGUAGACUAGAAUUCCAUAAAGCCCAUUGUGCCUGUUAUUAAAAUUGUAGAACAACUUUCUUUCCAUUAUUUUCCUAGUACAUAUUUUUUUUCAUCUAUUUAUCUUGUGUUUUUUAAAAAUACAUUCCAGAUGUCUCCUUCAUAGUUAUAUACUAUUCAGUUAUAUGCUAUUGAAUUUUAAAAAGGCAAAUCUGAUAAUUUCUCUUUGUAAAAAUUCCUUUGAUCCAAGUAACCACGUUUAUUUCCGAUUUCCUGUGUUUUCCUCCUUAGUUAUAUAGACUCUGAUAAGUCAAGUAAGCA
ensembl:lncRNA